UUUGUACUCCCUCCGUCCCUAAUUCUUGUCUUAAAUUUGUCUAAAUAUGGAUGUAUCUAGUUACAUUUUAGUGUUAGAUACAUCCAUAUCUAAACAAAUGUAAGACAAGAAUUUUGGGACGGAGGGAAUACUAC
rfam:Triticum urartu cultivar G1812 contig306872, whole genome shotgun sequence.